rnacentral:rRNA from 1 species
AGAAUCGCGGCGACGUGGGCGGUUCGCUGCCCGCGACGUUGUGAGAAGUCCACUGAACCCUAUCAUUUAGAGGAAGGAGAAGUCGUAACAAGGUUUCCGUAGGUGAACCUGCGGAAGGAUCAUUG